rnacentral:lncRNA from 1 species
AAAUUUCUCAGCUACGACUGGCCAACCAACCAAGUCCUCUCGUUGCUCCAAGUCUUAUCAGCAUCUCGUCCUGGCCAAACAAAAUGAGAACACCGCCCGGUGCCCGCCAGAAAACCGGCUAAGGAAAGUCCGUCUAGUAUAGCUCCUCGCUGCAAAGCUCAAUGGCCUUGCAUCUGGCUUGCGGCAUGGGGUGCUGCUUCUCUCGGUUGGACGGCCGGCGCCGAAGGCUACUCGUCAUGGGGAGACGCCAGCGUCAGGGGCAGCUACUGUCCGGAACUACAUCGAGUGGGAUGGUAAGCUAAGGUGUACGUACGUACUAUCAUUUCCGAAACUUGAUUUUCAUUCUUAUGCACCUGCUGGGUCAUUCAUUGUUCGCACAACUAAUUAAUCAGGCUUAGCGGCUACUCGUCAGGAACGUCCGCCACCCGCGGAGUCCCGCCGUCGAGCCGCACCAUCGCAAGCCGAGGAGCACCGCUGCCACCCACCGACGCCCAAGCAGAGGGAGGCCACACACGGGGACAGGCAGGCUCGCCGCUGCCGGCACCACGCGCGCAGGCGGCGGCGGGAGGAGGGAGGAGCGCUGGGGGGAACGGGAAAGGG